rnacentral:rRNA from 1 species
AUGGUACCAGUUCAUAUUUGGUUACCCGAAGCCCAUGUAGAGGCACCUACGGCUGGAUCCGUCAUCUUGGCUGGAAUUCUUUUAAGAUUGGGAACCUACGGGUUUUUAAGAUUUUCCAUACCCAUGUUUGCCGAGGCGACACUUUGUUUCACUCCUUUCAUUUAUACUCUAAGCGCGAUUGCUAUAAUAUAUACUUCCUUGACCACUUUAAGACAGAUCGAUCUUAAGAAGAUCAUUGCCUACUCCUCAGUAGCCCAUAUGAAUUUGGUGACUAUUGGUAUGUUUAGUCGGGCGGCGGCCGUUAGGUCACCUAUUUUGAGUUAUGGACACACAAGCAAGGCCAAAACAUGUGUGCCGGGCGUGCGACCCAUCAACCUACUAGCAAUAGGGGAGAAAACUUAG